ACCAAAUUUCAAGCUACAGUUUUGUGCAAGGUGCCAGCUGACCUUUUCUGAGAUCAUUGAUGGGACUGUGGAGACUGGUUUCACUGUCACCUUACUAAGUGGGACUCCUGGACACACAACAAUUCCCAAAAAGAUCAUGGGCUUUACUCUCAGAGGUGAAGCACCAAACAGAGAAGAAAGCAGAAAAUGAGGAACUGAUGGAAUUUUUGACUACAGGGGUGCAGACUCUGUCUCAGGUUUGGUGUUGGCCCUAGAAAGAAAGAAGAUGGAAAAGGAAGCU